rnacentral:lncRNA from 1 species
AUAGUAUCUUAGAUUUGUAGAACUUAUGUAAUAUAUCCAAAUAUCCAAUCCACCAUGCAUGUUAAUAAAGAAAACCAAAGCAUUUUGCUCAAUGGUCAAGUGGGUUUGAUCUUGCUGGCGUGACUUCCAAAAGAUGAGUUCCAAUUGGUACAAUAAAGCGACUUUAUACAUGCAACCUAGUUGUAUUUCAUGAUCAAAUUAAGUGGAAGACCAAAAUUUAUAUUGACGAUUAAUCUACAAAAGACUUUAGAUGAUAAAAAGACGAGCGUGGAAGUUUCAACGACUAUUUUCCUUUUAACACUAGACAAAAAGAAAAGGUUGAUCUCUCUCAUGAAGACAAACUAUUCUUUAGGUCAUACUAUGGUCUAAAAUAUCUCACUAUGAUUUUUUUGGUAAAAUUAUCUCACUAAGAUACACAAUAAAAAUGAAUCAUAUAUAUUACAAUGAAAUAAACCUAGCCAAAAUAAACAUUAAUCAAAUAAAAAGUUUUUCAAAAGAUUACCACCAUGUUGACAUGUUGUGAUGGGAUGCAAAUAAGUCUUAAAGGUUGAAUACUUUGUUAAAAAUGGU